GCACUUGUCGUGAGAGGUGCUUGUCUAUAACAAGCGGGUAUCUCUCCGUAAACACCUGUGAGCACUGAAAUGAUUUGUGGAUGGAAGAGUGGAGACGGCUUAGGCCUUUGGCCUGCGCUGGUUGAAGCUUUUUCCUUUUUUACUUUUUAAACCCCAACAACCUUUUUCUAACAAUUAAAAAGACUGAACUGUCUCUUGCCACAAACAAGAGACAACCUUGAUAUUCUAACCAAAGAAA
rnacentral:misc_RNA from 1 species